GACGAACGCUGGCGGCGUGCUUAACACAUGCAAGUCGAACGGUAAGGCCCUUCGGGGUACACGAGUGGCGAACGGGUGAGUAACACGUGGGUGAUCUGCCCUGCACUUUGGGAUAAGCCUGGGAAACUGGGUCUAAUACCGGAUAGGACAUGCGCUUCACGGUGUGUGGUGGAAAGCUUUUGCGGUGUGGGAUGGGCCCGCGGCCUAUCAGCUUGUUGGUGGGGUAAUGGCCUACCAAGGCGACGACGGGUAGCCGGCCUGAGAGGGUGACCGGCCACACUGGGACUGAGAUACGGGCCAGACUCCUACGGGAGGCAGCAGUGGGGAAUAUUGCACAAUGGGCGCAAGCCUGAUGCAGCGACGCCGCGUGAGGGAUGACGGCCUUCGGGUUGUAAACCUCUUUCAGUAGGGACGAAGCGCAAGUGACGGUACCUACAGAAGAAGGACCGGCCAACUACGUGCCAGCCGCCGCGGUAA
rnacentral:rRNA from 1 species